UNGNNCNNNNNNNGANGAGNNNNNNNUNUNUUGCUGACGAGUGGCGGACGGGUGAGUAAUGCUUGGGAAUCUGGCUUAUGGAGGGGGAUAACUACUGGAAACGGUAGCUAAUACCGCGUAAUGUCUNNGGACUAAAGGGGGCGAAAGCUCUUGCCAUAAGAUGAGCCCAAGUGGGAUUAGGUAGUUGGUGAGGUAANGGCUCACCAAGCCGNCGAUCUCUAGCUGGUCUGAGAGGAUGACCAGCCACACUGGAACUGAGACACGGUCCAGACUCCUACGGGAGGCAGCAGUGGGGAAUAUUGCACAAUGGGGGAAACCCUGAUGCAGCCAUGCCGCGUGAAUGAAGAAGGCCUUCGGGUUGUAAAGUUCUUUCGGUGAUGAGGAAGGUGUAAUGGUUAAUACCCGUUACAAUUGACGUUAGUCACAGAAGAAGCACCGGCUAACUCCGUGCCAGCAGCCGCGGUAAUACGGAGGGUGCGAGCGUUAAUCGGAAUAACUGGGCGUAAAGGGCACGCAGGCGGUUGUUUAAGUGAGGUGUGAAAGCCCUGGGCUCAACCUGGGAAUUGCAUUUCAGACUGGACAACUAGAGUACUUUAGGGAGGGGUAGAAUUCCACGUGUAGCGGUGAAAUGCGUAGAGA
rnacentral:rRNA from 1 species